rnacentral:tRNA from 1 species
GCCCGUUCCGGCAAAGUCUAACUUGCUAGCUGGAACGCACUCGUAAUGCGUAGGUCGUCGGUUCAAAUCCGACCGUCGGCUCCA